GCAGGCUGCAUCCUGAUUAGGUUAAGCUGAGGUAUAAAUUGGGGUUCAGAGAGAUUGAGUGCUUUCACCAUGAACAAGUGACAGACAGCAAUGACUUGAACCGCGUUACCUGAUGCCACCGCUGGUCUUAACCUCCAUGUUAUUAGCGUAUUGGGUAAGUGAAACCGUGUGAGCCAAGCAGCUGGGGUGAGAAACAGCACGGAGUAGAGGAGAGGGCUGCAGAAAGGCGUGAUGUUUCUGGAGCACCGAAUUCUACUCACGAACACAGGAGUGGAGGCGGGAAGGGGACACUGGAAGCCACGGAGGGCCUUGUCAGCCACAGUAAGGAAUGUGGACCUGGUCCUCAGGGUGGUGAGGGGAUGGCCCCCCAUCCAGAGGUUUCUCACAGGGGAGUGAUUCAGCCUGUCUCUGCCGCAGUCAGGAGGAAGGAUGCAAUGAGAGAGGGAAAGUGGAGAGGCGGAUGGCGGUGCAAUCUACUCCAGGUCAUGCUUCUUACCAUCUCCCUCAUUAUUCAUCCACAGAAAAUGAUUGCUGUUAUAUGACACACUGGUUAACAAAGGAGGGGGCUGUUUGCAGACAGAAACAACCAACCCAGGGCCUCCAGCCAUCCAAAGAUUCUGCACAGCCAGCCACCCCUAAGGCUAAGAAAUCCCAGGUACAUGCACACCAGUCACAGCAUACCUGGACUCAGACAAUGACAGUGGAGAAUGAGGAACAAGAGCUGGGUUCAAGGAAUAAUUAGCAAGCAACGUUGGCAUUAUGUAGUGCAGGGACAAAGGAGGAGGGAGAUAGCCCGUGGGAUUCUGGACUAAAUUGGGCAAAUGGUAUGACAUGGUUAGGCUUUUGUGUCCCCGCCCCAAUCUCAUCUUGAAUUGUAAUACCCAAGUGUUGAGGGAAAGACCCGGUGGGAGAGGAUCGGAUCAUGGGGCGGUUUCCCCCACGCUGUUCUUCUGAUAGUUAGGGAGUUCUCAUGAGAUCUGAUGGUUCCAUAAGCGUCCGUCAUUUCCUCCACCCACACUCUCUCUUGCCACCUUGUGAAGAGGUGCCUGCUUCCCCUUCCGCUAUGACUGUAAGUUUCCU
rnacentral:lncRNA from 1 species